rnacentral:tRNA from 1 species
UAUAUUUUGGUGUAUAGAGGCACUUUGAGUUUUGAUCUCAAGAGAUUAGUUUAAUUCUAAAAAAUAUAA